CAACUUCUCGAUGCCUCCAAUGCAAAUGCAUAUUCUCAAUGACGCCGUCAAAAACACCGCGUGUACCUACAGAGUAUCAUAAGCAGCAGUCAGUUUUGCAUCAUUGCAGUCUAGCAACUCUGGUACAUCUGAAGAUUACCCACCAAGUUGAGCCUCUUUCAUCAUCUUCUCACAUUCUACAGUAGAUAUUUCCCUUCCCCGGAAUACUUGAGCCUCAUUGAACUCAGACAACAGUUCUGUUUGUGCAUUUGUUUCAUCUUCGCCAGUUACAUCAACAGCUCUGCAUCGCACCUUCUUCUGAACAUCCUGCACCUGUUUCGUCAAUUGCUGUCUUUCAGAUAAAAUGGCAGCCACAUUGGCUGGAACGAAAUCCUUCCCUCGAUAUAUUACGAUGUAAUAUUUAUUCCUUAGCAGUAAGGUACCUCCUGUUAAUUUCUGGACCAGAGAAAAUACUUUUCAAAUCAAUUAAUAGAAUUACUGUAUUAUUCUUUUUUCUUAGAAUAUUGACUUGGGAACAAAAGAAUGCACCAUGUUACUGAGGGGGUGCUUGGAAGAACUUAUUUAGGCUUAUCCUAUCUUAUGUCACAAAUGCUUAGGCAAAUGUUUGGAAGGGCUUGUAUAAAUAGCUCACAAUAUGACCGCAAGUUGUUUUUCAGCUUAUGUGAGGUUUACACUCCUUCCCAUGAUAUAUUACAAUGUGAUACUUAUUCCUUGGCGGAUUCUCCUGUUAAUUACUGGACCAAAGAAAAAAACUUUUCAAUUCAAUAAAACUGCUGUAUUAUUUUCUUUUC